AGGCCUGGUCGCCCUCCCUGUUAAUUAAAGGGGAGACUAGUUUCCAGGGCAAUUUCAGCUCUGGCCGGGCCUGUGCCCACAUCCUUAAGAGGGAGGCCAUGGUGAUGGGCCGGCUGGGCGGCUGGUGGCCUUGGAGGUAACAAUUUGUCUUGAGAUGGAAUCCACUCCCCUGAAUAAAGGGACUUUGUGUUCUCUCCCAUUCUCAUGCCCCCCUGGUCCCCAUGGAGGGAUUAGAGGGGAAACAUCUGUGGUUCCCCAAGAACAGUGACCGCCAUGGUAGGCAGCUCUUAGGCCACUGCCUGGGCCAGCAGGACUUUCUCAUGCACACUGGGCCUCUGUCUGUCCUCAGAGCUCUGCCUUCUCAUAGAAAACAUGGAUCCACGCAAUCACUGGCUCAUUCAUUUGUUCACUCAACAACUCUUUAUUGAGCAUCUACUGAUGUACCAGGUGCUCACAGGCACCGAGUGUAUGGAGGUGAAAAAGCAAAGCUCCCCCUGGUCAUGGAGCCCAUGAUCUAGUGGGGUCGACAAACCUAAAGAUAAAUAAGUCAAUCAAAUCCAUUGGCAGGCAGUCAGACAUAAAACAAGUUAGUAGAGAGAAAGUGACAGGUGGGUGGGGAUCCUCCAAGGAGGUGGCAUCUGAGCAGGGACCUGCAGGUGGAAAGGGGUGAGCUGAAAACAGUGGCACUUAGCAGGGACAGGUCAACCUCAUGCCUCCACCCCACUUUUCCUCCUCUAAGCUUUUUGGUCAAGGCUGCUCUCCACUCUCUGCCAAGCCAGCAAUGACUUAUCUGUAUUCUCCUUAAUACAUAAUUUGCUAUUUUAUUAACUGUAUCAAAUGCAUUUGUAAAACUAGAACAUGAAGCCACCUUGGCGUAUAAUGUAGGCUCUUACUCCAGUAAGAGUCACAAAACCCACAUUGCUGACACACUUCUGUCCAAUAUAAGAGGGUGCUUUUUCCAUUUAAAACUCUAAUGAAAUGGUGGCUUUAAGAUAGUAGACUAAAGACAUUUCUAUUCCUUUUCUCUUCUUAAAAAAGAAAAAAACAAACAAAAAACUUCCCCAAAACAAGAAUAAGGAGCAGAAACAAAAACUCUGUCUUUGAGGAAAUCGAGAGACAUUUGUAACCCUGAACUACAAAGGAGGGAAAUGGAUGAAGUGGCCAGUGACAUAACCGAGAGGAAGAAAGUCAAAGCUAAAUGGAUGGGGCGUUGGCGGUGUUUCUUGUGUUUUGCUGUUCUGAAUAAAGCUGCUAUGAUC
rnacentral:lncRNA from 1 species